CUUCAGAGGAGUUAGCGAAAUUCCAAUGUGUGCGGAUGGGCAAAAAAUGCGAAAUAAAUGUUUAACCGUACAUUUGACAGAUACGCCCGCGCAGACUUUUUCGUAGAUCUUAUUCAGAUACACGUGUGUGUCAAAUUUUGUGUCAUUUUGACAAAGCGUACAGGCAUCAGGUGAAUUUUUCACCUUAGGGGGCGCUAUGGAGCCAUUUUGCAUUUUAUUGUUUGGGCGACUUCAGAAUAUCGAAUUUUUCACCAGGCCCGGUCGUCCUGCCAAAUUUCAUGAGUUUUCGCCAGUGGGAAGUGGGCCAUUUUCCAGUUUAAAGCGGAGGAAAAAUAAUAACGAAACUAGGGCCCCGUUGGGGCACUGGCGGGCCCGAGCUGUGUCGCGCCGCCCCCAACACGACCGCCUCUCCCUCCCGAUCGCGUC